UCCCCAUCAUCUCUAACCUCUGAAGUUAUAUCGCUUCAGAUUCCUAAUAAAUAAAAAAACCAAAAUCGCCACUGUUACCAAACCUCCACUUCCUCAACAUUAUCCCCUCCGCAUCUUUACUCCCGAGACAUCUACUUCAAUGGCCACUAUCUUCAUUCACAUCUCUUUGGGUUUCAUUAUAAAACAAAAUCUCCCUCAACACACAGAGAAAAAAA